AUUGAACGCUGGCGGCAUGCCUUACACAUGCAAGUCGAACGGCAGCACGGUUGGUGGUUGCUGGUAGCGAGUGCGGGAGGCGGGAGGAUUAGAUCGGCACCGGACCCGACGUUGGGGUUGGGGCGGAGGAAGCCGGACUAAUACUGCAAACGAAUAACGGCUAAAGGUGAAAGAACUGCGGCUCCCGCGCUUGCGGGAUGGCCGAUGGCGGAUUAGCUAGUUGGUGGGGUAAAGGCCUACCAAGGCGACGAUCAGUAGCUGGUCUGAGAGGACGAGCAGCCACACUGGAACUGAGACACGGCCCAGACUCCUACGGGAGGCAGCAGUGGGGAAUUUUGGACAAUGGGCGAAAGCCUGAUCCAGCAAUGCCGCGUGUGUGAAGAAGGCCUUCGGGUUGUAAAGCCCUUUUGUCCGGAAAGAAAACCAUGGCGCUAAUACGGUCGGGUUAUGACGGUACCGGAAGAAUAAGCACCGGCUAACUACGUG
rnacentral:rRNA from 1 species